GAUGAACGCUGGCGGCGUGCCUAAUACAUGCAAGUCGAGCGAACGGACGAGAAGCUUGCUUCUCUGAUGUUAGCGGUGGACGGGUGAGUAACACGUGGAUAACCUACCUAUAAGACUGGGAUAACUUCGGGAAACCGGAGCUAAUACCGGAUAAUAUUUUGAACCGCAUGGUUCAAAAGUGAAAGACGGUCUUGCUGUCACUUAUAGAUGGAUCCGCGCUGCAUUAGCUAGUUGGUAAGGUAACGGCUUACCAAGGCAACGAUGCAUAGCCGACCUGAGAGGGUGAUCGGCCACACUGGAACUGAGACACGGUCCAGACUCCUACGGGAGGCAGCAGUAGGGAAUCUUCCGCAAUGGGCGAAGGCCUGACGGAGCAACGCCGCGUGAGUGAUGAGGGUCUUCGGAUCGUAAAACUCUGUUAUUAGGGAAGAACAUAUGUGUAAGUAACUGUGCACAUCUUGACGGUACCUAAUCAGAAAGCCACGGCUAACUACGUGCCAGCAGCCGCGGUAAUACGUAGGUGGCAAGCGUUAUCCGGAAUUAUUGGGCGUAAAGCGCGCGUAGGCGGUUUUUUAAGUCUGAUGUGAAAGCCCACGGCUCAACCGUGGAGGGUCAUUGGAAACUGGAAAACUUGAGUGCAGAAGAGGAAAGUGGAAUUCCAUGUGUAGCGGUGAAAUGCGCAGAGAUAUGGAGGAACACCAGUGGCGAAGGCGACUUUCUGGUCUGUAACUGACGCUGAUGUGCGAAAGCGUGGGGAUCAAACAGGAUUAGAUACCCUGGUAGUCCACGCCGUAAACGAUGAGUGCUAAGUGUUAGGGGGUUUCCGCCCCUUAGUGCUGCAGCUAACGCAUUAAGCACUCCGCCUGGGGAGUACGACCGCAAGGUUGAAACUCAAAGGAAUUGACGGGGACCCGCACAAGCGGUGGAGCAUGUGGUUUAAUUCGAAGCAACGCGAAGAACCUUACCAAAUCUUGACAUCCUUUGACAACUCUAGAGAUAGAGCUUUCCCCUUCGGGGGACAAAGUGACAGGUGGUGCAUGGUUGUCGUCAGCUCGUGUCGUGAGAUGUUGGGUUAAGUCCCGCAACGAGCGCAACCCUUAAGCUUAGUUGCCAUCAUUAAGUUGGGCACUCUAAGUUGACUGCCGGUGACAAACCGGAGGAAGGUGGGGAUGACGUCAAAUCAUCAUGCCCCUUAUGAUUUGGGCUACACACGUGCUACAAUGGACAAUACAAAGGGCAGCGAAACCGCGAGGUCAAGCAAAUCCCAUAAAGUUGUUCUCAGUUCGGAUUGUAGUCUGCAACUCGACUACAUGAAGCUGGAAUCGCUAGUAAUCGUAGAUCAGCAUGCUACGGUGAAUACGUUCCCGGGUCU
rnacentral:rRNA from 1 species